ACGGAAGGUAGCAGCUAAGAAUAUUCCGCAAUGGACGAAAGUCUGACGGAGCGACGCCGCGUGGAUGAUGAAGGUCGGAAGAUUGUAAAAUCCUUUUGAAUGAGACGAAUAAGCAGGGCAGGGAAUGGCCUUGUGGUGACGGUAUCAUUAGAAUAAGCAAAGGCUAAUUACGUGCCAGCAGCCGCGGUAACACGUCAGGUGCGAGCGUUGUUCGGAAUUAUUGGGCGUAAAUGGCAUGUAGGCGGUUCUGCAAGCUUGGUGUGAAAUCCCGGAGCUUAACUCCUGAACUGCAUUGAGAACUGCAGGACUAGAUUUACUGAAGGGCUACUGGAAUUCCAAGUGUCGGGGUGAAAUCUGUAGAUAUUUGGAAGAACACCAAUGGCGAAGGCAAGUUGCUGGCAGAUAAUUGACGCUGAGGUGCGAAGGUGCGGGGAGCAAACAGGAUUAGAUACCCUGGUA
rnacentral:rRNA from 1 species